AGUGAACGCUGGCGGUAUGCCUAACACAUGCAAGUCGAACGGCAGCACAGUAAGAUCUUGCUCUUAUGGGUGGCGAGUGGCGGACGGGUGAGGAAUACAUCGUAAUCUACUUUUUCGUGGGGGAUAACGUAGGGAAACUUACGCUAAUACCGCAUACCACCUACGGGUGAAAGCAUGGGAUCUUCGGACCUUGCGCGAUUGAAUGAGCCGAUGUCGGAUUAGCUAGUUGGCGGGGUAAAGGCCCACCAAGGCGACGAUCCGUAGCCGGUCUGGGAGGAUGAUCAGCCACACUGGAACUGAGACACGGUCCAGACUCCUACGGGAGGCAGCAGUGGGGAAUAUUGGACAAUGGGGGCAAGCCUGAUCCAGCCAUACCGCGUGGGUGAAGAAGGCCUUCGGGUUGUAAAGCCCUUUUGUUGGGAAAGAAAAGCAGCAGGUUAAUACCCCGCUGUUCUGACGGUACCCAAAGAAUAAGCACCGGCUAACUUCGUG
rnacentral:rRNA from 1 species